rnacentral:rRNA from 1 species
UUCGCAAUGCCCGAAAGGGGGACGAAGCGACGCCUCGUGCCGGAAGAAGGCCUUCGGGUUGUAAACCGCUGUCGGGAGUUAAGAAAUGCAAGGAUAUUAAUAGUGUCUUUGCUUGACUAAGGCUCCGGAGGAAGCCACGGCUAACUCUGUGCCAGCAGCCGCGGUAAUACAGAGGCGGCAAGCGUUGUUCGGAAUUAUUGGGCGUAAAGAGCACGUAGGCGGCUAUGUAAGUCGGUUGUGAAAGCCUUCCGCUCAACGGGAGAACAGCAUUCGAUACUGCAUAGCUUGAGUGCGGGAGGGGAGAGUGGAACUUCUGGUGGAGCGGUGAAAUGCGUAGAUAUCAGAAGGAACGCCGGCGGCGAAAGCGGCUCUCUGGCCCAUAACUGACGCUGAGUGUGCGAAAGCUAGGGGAGCAAACGGGAUUAGAUACCCCGGUAGUCCUAGCCGUAAACGAUGGGCACUAAGUAGAGGGGUUUUA